AAAUGGAAAGACCGGUACAAGCGAGGUAGGAGAAGAGUUGGCAAAUCCGCUCUUUAAUCUGAAGACGUGAUGUGGACUGAAAAUAAGUAGGGAAGCACGUGAGCUGACUGUCAAGAAAAGCCGCUAUUGUUUGCAGGAUACCCGUACCGUAAACCGACACAGGUGGAUGAGGAGAGAAUCCUAAGGCCGACGGGAGAAGCAUUGUUAAGGAACUCGGCAAAAUGACUCCGUAACUUCGGGAGAAGGAGUGCCAGUAAGAUGGCCGCAGAGAAUUGGCCCAAGCAACUGUUUAGCAAAAACACAGGUCUAUGCAAAACCGAAAGGUGAGGUAUAUGGGCUGACGCCUGCCCGGUGCUGGAAGGUUAAGGGGAGAGGUUAGCGCAAGCGAAGCUUUGAACUUAAGCCCCAGUAAACGGCGGCCGUAACUAUAACGGUCCUAAGGUAGCGAAAUUCCUUGUCGGGUAAGUUCCGACCCGCACGAAAGGCGUAAUGAUUUGGGCACUGUCUCAACAAUGCACCCGGUGAAAUUGAAAUACCAGUGAAGAUGCUGGUUACCUGCGCCAGGACGGAAAGACCCCAUGGAGCUUUACUCCAGCUUGAUACUGGGAUUCGGUAUUGCAUGUACAGGAUAGGUGGGAGGCUAGGAAAUGGUAACGCCAGUUGCCAUGGAGCCAAUGUUGGGAUACCACCCUUGCAGUACUGGGUUUCUAACCAGCAGCCGUGAUCCGGCUGGGGGACAAUGUCAGGUGGGGAGUUUGACUGGGGCGGUCGCCUCCGAAAGGGUAUCGGAGGCGCUCAAAGGUUCCCUCAGAAUGGUUGGAAACCAUUCGAAGAGUGCAAAGGCAGAAGGGAGCUUGACUGCGACACCGACGGGUGGAGCAGGUACGAAAGUAGGACUUAGUGAUCCGGUGGUAUAAAGUGGGAUUGCCAUCGCUCAACGGAUAAAAGCUACCCUGGGAUAACAGGCUUAUCACUCCCAAGAGUUCACAUCGACGGAGUGGUUUGGCACCUCGAUGUCGGCUCAUCGCAUCCUGGGGCUGAAGUAGGUCCCAAGGGUUGGGCUGUUCGCCCAUUAAAGCGGUACGCGAGCUGGGUUCAGAACGUCGUGAGACAGUUCGGUCCCUAUCCGGCGUGGGCGUAAGAUAUUUGAGAGGAGCUGUCCUUAGUACGAGAGGACCGGGAUGGACUGGCCGCUGGUGUAUCUGUUGUCUUACCAAAGGCAUAGCAGAGUAGCCAAGCCGGGAAGGGAUAAACGCUGAAGGCAUCUAAGCGUGAAGCCCCCCUCAAGAUGAGAUAUCUCAUAACGUCAAGUUAGUAAGACCCCUUGAAGACGACGAGGUAGAUAGGGCAGAGGUGGAAGUGUGGUAACACAUGGAGCUGACUGUUACUAAUAGGUCGAGGGCAUAACCGA
rnacentral:rRNA from 1 species